rnacentral:rRNA from 1 species
CAGUAGCCACGGUAAUACCAGCACCUCGAGUGGUCAGGAGGUUUAUUGGGCCUAAAGCAUCCGUAGCCGGUUGCAUAAGUUUUCGGUUAAAUCUAUGCGCUUAACGUAUAGGCCGCCGAAAAUACUGUGCAGCUAGGGAGUGGGAGAGGUACACGGUACUCGAUAGGAAGGGGUAAAAUCCUUUGAUCUAUUGAUGACCACCUGUGGCGAAGGCGGUGUACCAGAACACGUUCGACGGUGAGGGAUGAAAGCUGGGGGAGCAAACCGGAUUAGAUACCCCGGUAGUCCCUGUCUCUUAUAC